UUUGUUGGGACGGCGUGGACUCCACAGGAGAAGAGCAGACAUUUCAUUUAUCAGUCCGAAAAAGUAAAAUGAGUACAUUAAAACUACAUUAAAUAUUAUAUGGCGUCACGCCCGUCAGGAUUUUGAUUGGUUGGCGAAACACCGACUUCAGAAAUCCAUCUGCAGCCCUGAAAAACGGUGGAAACAUUUACAAGACUACGGAGGAUUAAGACCUGGAAGUCACCUGUACAGGUAGACUUUGCUCUCUGAGCAGGAACACGUGAGGUAUUAGAUGAACGUUAUUACGGAAGUCCUCGUUUGUAAGUUAAUUAGAUCUGUCAGCACUUACAAUUGAGCCCUGAAGACCACAGUGAGGAGCUCCAGUCCAAGACCAACAGCAAGUCCUAAGUCCAGCCCCAAGAAUAUAGCAGCCAGACAGGUCCCCACCCAAACAAUCUGGAGGAAAAAGAUAGUGCACCGAGAAUGGAAAUCAGUGAAACUCUAUACCAUUAGACAGAUGAUUUGUAGAUUUAGAGGUCAAAGGCUCUUACGCAGUCAGGACGGUCUUUCUUCCACAGACUCUUUGUAAGGAUCUAAAUUGGCCAAGAUGAUCUUUUAGCAGGCCCUCAAAAGCAGUGAUAUUGGCAGGCAGACCCUCAUCGGGCACCAAUCUGGUCACUACGGCCCCCACCAUGAGACUCAGCACAGGGAAAGCUCCUGGUCUAAAGGAUCCUCAUCAUUUCCAGUGGAGGUUUCCAGCUGAAUGAAUAGAAUGGCGUCAUGGACAGAAAGGAAGAGAAUGUCUCUAGUAACCUCCUCGUCAAAGAAGGA